AAACAACUUGCAAAUAUAAUGCAUAAUAUUACGAGAGUGGAUCAAAUAUGUUACAUAAUUAUGUGAAUUUUGAAAUGCAAGUCGUGGUACUUCUCAUUUGUUUUUGGAAAGGUCUGUAUAUAUUUUUUUAUCUUUUAAAGAGAUAAAUUUGAUGUUUAUGUUAAAUGGUCUGUUCAUAUGAUGAAAUCAUAAUCUUUCAGUCAGUUUAGUUGAAGUCUGGAGCUGGCAUGUCAGUUAACUGCUAGUAGUCUGUUGUUAUUUAUGUAUUAUUGUCAUUUUGUUUAUUUCUUUGGUUACAUCUUCUGACAUCAGACUCGAUUUCUCUUGAACUGAAUUUAAUGUGCGUAUUGUUAUGCGUUUACUUUACUACAUUGGUUUAAGGUAUAGGGGAGGGUUGAAUCUCACAAACAUUUAACCCCGCCGCAUUUUUGCGCCUCCCCAAGUCAGAGCCUCUGGCCUUUGUUAGUCUGUAUUAUUUUUAAUUUUUAGUUUCUUGUGUACAAUUUGGAAAUAGUAUGGCGUUCAUUAUCACUGACUAGUAUAUAUUUGUUUAGGGGCCAGCUGAAGACGCCUCCGUGCGGGAAUUUCCUCGCUACAUUGAAGACCUGUUGGUGACCCUCUGCUGUUGUUUUUUAUUUGGGCGGGUUGUUGUCUCUUUGACACAUUCCCCAUUUCCAUUCUCAAUUUUAUUCCUUUCUACACUUUACGUGUUUGUUUUGGGUUUUUUUUUCGUAUUUUUUUUCUGUAGUACAUUUUAUUAGAAUUGUACGUGAACAUAUUUUUCUUCUAAUUUCUAGAUAACAUGGAUGAAAAUUAUCUUUUAAUAGUGUAUGUUUUCUUUGAUUAGGGGCAGUAAUAUUGGCUUUUGAUGACUACUGCAACCUUACGCAUGAAACAAAAAAUGAAAUGACAGCUAUAAUUGGAUCGACGCAAGUUUUAAAAUGUCCCGUUGGCAAACAUGUUAGUCAUGCUUGGGAGAAAUUCAAUGGCACAAUUGCAGAAGGUACCAAAAUAAACCCAGAUUAUCAAAAUCUAAACAAGUUUUCUAUUGAUACCAGUCAAAAAGAAUACAAUUUGAUGAUAUCUAAUAUAUCAACUGCUGAUAGCGGACAGUACUGUUGUGACCAGAUAGAUUUCCGGUGUUGUGUACUGUUACACGUACAAG
rnacentral:lncRNA from 1 species